AAAAUAAUAUUAAAUUUACAAAAAAUUCUUUUAAAAAUAUCAAUAAUCCCCAAAAUUAUUAUUUUA
rnacentral:tRNA from 1 species